GGGAGUUUAGCUCAGUUGGUAGAGCGCUACCCUUACAAGGUAGAUGUCACAGGUUCGAGUCCUGUAAUUCCCA
rnacentral:tRNA from 1 species